AACGAACGCUGGCGGCAUGCCUAACACAUGCAAGUCGAACGAGACCUCCGGGUCUAGUGGCGCACGGGUGCGUAACGCGUGGGAACCUGCCCUUAGGUUCGGAAUAACUCCCCGAAAGGGGUGCUAAUACCGGAUAAUGUCUUCGGACCAAAGAUUUAUCGCCUUUGGAUGGGCCCGCGUUGGAUUAGCUAGUUGGUAGGGUAAAAGCCUACCAAGGCGACGAUCCAUAGCUGGUCUGAGAGGAUGACCAGCCACACUGGGACUGAGACACGGCCCAGACUCCUACGGGAGGCAGCAGUGGGGAAUAUUGGACAAUGGGCGAAAGCCUGAUCCAGCAAUGCCGCGUGAGUGAUGAAGGCCUUAGGGUUGUAAAGCUCUUUUACCCGGGAUGAUAAUGACAGUACCGGGAGAAUAAGCUCCGGCUAACUCCGUG
rnacentral:rRNA from 1 species